rnacentral:rRNA from 1 species
CAGCAGCAGCCGCGGUAAUACAGAGGGUGCGAGCGUUAAUCGGAUUUACUGGGCGUAAAGCGUGCGUAGGCGGCUUCUUAAGUCGGAUGUGAAAUCCCUGAGCUUAACUUAGGAAUUGCAUUCGAUACUGGGAAGCUAGAGUAUGGGAGAGGAUGGUAGAAUUCCAGGUGUAGCGGUGAAAUGCGUAGAGAUCUGGAGGAAUACCGAUGGCGAAGGCAGCCAUCUGGCCUAAUACUGACGCUGAGGUACGAAAGCAUGGGGAGCAAACAGGAUUAGAUACCCCCGUAGUCCCUGUCUCUUAUAC